rnacentral:rRNA from 1 species
GACGAAUGUUGGCGGCGUGCUUAAUACAUGCAAGUCAACUGAAGCAGUGGUAGCAAUAUCGCUGUGGAGGUGGCGCACGGGUGAGUAACACGUAGGUAAUCUGCCUUCAGGUCUGGCAUAACUCCGGGAAACCGGGGCUAAUAGCAGAUGAUGCAGCGGCUCGACAUCGAGACAGUUGUUAAAGCUAUGGCGCCUGAAGAUGAGCCUGCGUCUGAUUAGCUAGUUGGCGGGGUAACGGCCCACCAAGGCAACGAUCAGUAGCUGGUCUGAGAGGAUGAUCAGCCACACUGGAACUGAGACACGGUCCAGACUCCUACGGGAGGCAGCAGUAAGGAAUAUUGCUCAAUGGGAGAAAUCCUGAAGCAGCAACGCCGCGUGAGGGACGAAGGGCUUUUGCUUGUAAACCUCUGUAGUGAGAGAAAAAAAUCCCAAUCUUUGGGACAUGAUGGUAUCUCAAAAGUAAGCCCCGGCUAACUACGUG